GUGGGGAAUAUUGGACAAUGGGGGGAACCCUGAUCCAGCCAUGCCGCGUGUGUGAAGAAGGCCUUUUGGUUGUAAAGCACUUUAAGCGAGGAGGAGGCUACCGAGAUUAAUACUCUUGGAUAGUGGACGUUACUCGCAGAAUAAGCACCGGCUAACUCUGUGCCAGCAGCCGCGGUAAUACAGAGGGUGCAAGCGUUAAUCGGAUUUACUGGGCGUAACGCGCGCGUAGGUGGCCAAUUAAGUCAAAUGUGAAAUCCCCGAGCUUAACUUGGGAAUUGCAUUCGAUACUGGUUGGCUAGAGUAUGGGAGAGGAUGGUAGAAUUCCAGGUGUAGCGGUGAAAUGCGUAGAGAUCUGGAGGAAUACCGAUGGCGAAGGCAGCCAUCUGGCCUAAUACUGACACUGAGGUGCGAAAGCAUGGGGAGCAAACAGGAUUAGAAACCCCGGUAGUCC
rnacentral:rRNA from 1 species